rnacentral:misc_RNA from 1 species
GAUGAAGAACGCAGUGAAAUGCGAUAAGUAAUGUGAAUUGCAGAAUUCAGUGAAUCAUCGAAUCUUUGAACGCACCUUGCGCUCCUUGGUAUUCCGAGGAGCAUGCCUGUUUGAGUGUCAUUAAUAUAUCAACCUUCUCUUUUUUGAGUUGUUUGGAUGUGGGGGUUUGCUGGCCUCUUAAAUGAUUCAGCUCCCCUGAAAUGCAUUAGCAGAACAACCUGUUCAUUAGCGUGAUAAUUAUCUAUGCUAUUGAAUGUGAGGGCAGUUCAGCUUUCUAACCGUCCUUGGACAAUUCAUCAUUAAUGUGACCUCAAAUCAGGUAGGACUACCCGCUGAACUUAAGCAUAUCAAUAAGCGGAGGA